GUCAUCAAGAUUUACCGUUCCAUAACAUGUUGGUGAAGGUCAUCUGACUACAACAAAGAUGCCUAAAACUCUGCCCAGAAAUGUUAUUAUUGCUUGAAAUAUUAAAGAUAAUGCAAUUUCCGCCAUUUUAUUAAGGUCAAAAACAUUCUACCCUUCCCUGGAUGAUUACCAGUCCUACAUCCUCUUUGGCCAAUAAAAAUAUGUAACCGCAUGCUUCCCCAUUUUGUGUUUUUGAAAUCACAUGACUGUCAUGUGAUAUGGUUU
rnacentral:lncRNA from 1 species